ACUGAUGUUGGUGAUUAUCAAGUUAAGCUUCGUGCUAUUUUGAAAUUCCUUGAAGAAGGAAACAAAGUAAAGAUUACUUUACGUUUCCGUGGUCGUGAAAUGGCUCACCAACAGCUUGGCUUAGCUCAAUUGCAAAAAAUUGAAGUAGAUGUAGCUGAGUUUGGGGUUGUGGAACAAGCACCAAAAAUGGAAGGCCGUCAAAUGGGUAUGUUACUUGGACCGAAAAAGAAAAAGUAAUACUCAAAAAAAGCACUGCAAAAGCAGUGCUUUUUUAUAACUAAAUAUAAAUAAAAAAGAUGAUUUAAUUUUUC
rnacentral:misc_RNA from 1 species